rnacentral:rRNA from 1 species
CGCGUAGGUGGCUUGAUAAGUUGGAUGUGAAAUCCCCGGGCUCAACCUGGGAACUGCAUCCAAAACUGUCUGGCUAGAGUGCGGUAGAGGGUAGUGGAAUUUCCAGUGUAGCGGUGAAAUGCGUAGAUAUUGGAAGGAACACCAGUGGCGAAGGCGACUACCUGGACUGACACUGACACUGAGGUGCGAAAGCGUGGGGAGCAAACA